AAGAUUUUAAGUUAAAAAAACUAAUAGCCUUCAAAGCUUUAAAUAAAAUAAGAUAUUUUAAAUCUUG
rnacentral:tRNA from 1 species